UACAGAGGAGCCAAGCGUUGUCCGGAUUGACUGGGCGUAAAGCGCACGCAGGCGGAUGCGCGCGUGGGGUGUGAAAUCUGGCCGCUUAACGGCCAGGCGCCAUCCCAUACGGCGUGUCUGGAGGGCUGCAGAGGUCGAUGGAAUUGCCGGUGUAGUGGUGAAAUGCGUAGAGAUCAGCAGGAACACCCGUGGCGAAGGCGGCCCCCUGGGCCGUACCUGACGCUGAGGCGCGAAGGCGAGGGGAGCGAACGGG
rnacentral:rRNA from 1 species